CAUGCAAGUCGAGGGGCAGCAUGGUCUUAGCUUGCUAAGGCUGAUGGCGACCGGCGCACGGGUGAGUAACACGUAUCCAACCUGCCGUCUACUCUUGGCCAGCCUUCUGAAAGGAAGAUUAAUCCAGGAUGGCAUCAUGAGUUCACAUGUCCGCAUGAUUAAAGGUAUUUUCCGGUAGACGAUGGGGAUGCGUUCCAUUAGAUAGUAGGCGGGGUAACGGCCCACCUAGUCAACGAUGGAUAGGGGUUCUGAGAGGAAGGUCCCCCACAUUGGAACUGAGACACGGUCCAAACUCCUACGGGAGGCAGCAGUGAGGAAUAUUGGUCAAUGGGCGAUGGCCUGAACCAGCCAAGUAGCGUGAAGGAUGACUGCCCUAUGGGUUGUAAACUUCUUUUAUAAAGGAAUAAAGUCGGGUAUGCAUACCCGUUUGCAUGUACUUUAUGAAUAAGGAUCGGCUAACUCCGUGCCAGCAGCCGCGGUAAUACGGAGGAUCCGAGCGUUAUCCGGAUUUAUUGGGUUUAAAGGGAGCGUAGAUGGAUGUUUAAGUCAGUUGUGAAAGUUUGCGGCUCAACCGUAAAAUUGCAGUUGAUACUGGAUGUCUUGAGUGCAGUUGAGGCAGGCGGAAUUCGUGGUGUAGCGGUGAAAUGCUUAGAUAUCACGAAGAACUCCGAUUGCGAAGGCAGCCUGCUAAGCUGCAACUGACAUUGAGGCUCGAAAGUGUGGGUAUCAAACAGGAUUAGAUACCCUGGUAGUCCACACGGUAAACGAUGAAUACUCGCUGUUUGCGAUAUACGGCAAGCGGCCAAGCGAAAGCGUUAAGUAUUCCACCUGGGGAGUACGCCGGCAACGGUGAA
rnacentral:rRNA from 1 species